CUUGGUCAUUUAGAGGAAGUAAAAGUCGUAACAAGGUUUCCGUAGGUGAACCUGCGGAAGGAUCAUUACAGAGUUCAUGCCCUUCGGGGUAGAUCUCCCACCCUGUGUAUUUAUACCUUUGUUGCUUUGGCAGGCCGUCAGGCUUCGGCUCGACUACCGGCUCCGGCUGGUAAGCGCCUGCCAGAGGAAAUCAAACUCUGAAUAUCAGUGUCGUCUGAGUAAAAUAUAAUAAGUUAAAACUUUCAACAACGGAUCUCUUGGUUCUGGCAUCGAUGAAGAACGCAGCGAAAUGCGAUAAGUAAUGUGAAUUGCAGAAUUCAGUGAAUCAUCGAAUCUUUGAACGCACAUUGCGCCCCUUGGUAUUCCGAGGGGCAUGCCUGUUCGAGCGUCAUUACAACCCUCAAGCUCUGCUUGGUAUUGGGCAUCACUAGAAAUAGUGUGCCUUAAAGACAGUGGCGGUGCCAUCUGGCUCUAAGCGUAGUAAUUCUUCUCGCUAUAGAUGUCUUGUGGAUGCUUGCCAGCAACCCCUAAUUUUUUAAGGUUGACCUCGGAUCAGGUAGGGAUACCCGCUGAACUUAAGCAUAUCAAUAAGCGGAGGAAAAGAAACCAACAGGGAUUACCUCAGUAACGGCGAGUGAAGCGGUAACAGCUCAANUUUGAAAUCUGGGUCUUUCAGGCUCCGAGUUGUAAUUUGUAGAAGAUGCUUCGGGUGUAGCUCCGGUCUAAGUUCCUUGGAACAGGACGUCAUAGAGGGUGAGAAUCCCGUAUGUGACUGGGUGCUUUCGCUCAUGUGAAGCUCUUUCAACGAGUCGAGUUGUUUGGGAAUGCAGCUCAAAAUGGGUGGUAUAUUUCAUCUAAAGCUAAAUAUUGGCCAGAGACCGAUAGCGCACAAGUAGAGUGAUCGAAAGAUGAAAAGCACUUUGGAAAGAGAGUUAAACAGUACGUGAAAUUGUUGAAAGGGAAGCGCUUGCAACCAGACUUGCACGUUGUCGAUCAUCCGAGGUUUUCCCCGGUGCACUCGAUUUCGUUCAGGCCAGCAUCGGUUUCAGUGGUUGGAUAAAGGCCUUAGGAAUGUGGCACCUCUCGGGGUGUGUUAUAGCCUAAGGUGCAAUGCAGCCUACUGGGACCGAGGACCGCGCUUCGGCUAGGAUGCUGGCGUAAUGGUUGUAAGCGACCCGUCUUGAAACACGGACC
rnacentral:rRNA from 1 species